ensembl:lincRNA Gm28872 predicted gene 28872
UUCCUCCUGUAAUUUAACAAAUUCAAGGGCGCCGGGACCAACGAUCACCAGCUGCCCAAUUACCAAAAAAUUAUGCUUCCGAAAUCUCUUGAUGUCGAUUCCGCACGCACAGCAAUCGAGUUGCCCUGCGUGUGCCACUCACGACAGAAGCCCUUUUU